UACGAAGGGGGCUAGCGUUGUUCGGAAUUACUGGGCGUAAAGCGCGCGUAGGCGGAUUUGUAAGUCAGGGGUGAAAUGCCAGGGCUUAACCUUGGAACUGCCUUUGAUACUGCACGUCUGGAGUACGGGAGAGGUGAGUGGAAUUCCGAGUGUAGAGGUGAAAUUCGUAGAUAUCAAGAGGAACACCUGCGGCGAAGGCGGGUUGCUGGGCCGACACUGACGCUGAUGCGCGAAAGCCAGGGGAGCGAACGGG
rnacentral:rRNA from 1 species